rnacentral:rRNA from 1 species
GUGCCAGCAGCCGCGGUAAGACGGAGGGGGCUAGCGUUGUUCGGAAUUACUGGGCGUAAAGAGCGCGUAGGCGGUUUAGUAAGUUGGAAGUGAAAGCCCAGGGCUUAACCCUGGAAAUGCUUACAAAACUACUAAACUAGAGUGUGGUAGGGGGUGAUGGAAUUCCUAGUGUAGAGGUGAAAUUCUUAGAUAUUAGGAGGAACACCGGUGGCGAAGGCGAUCACCUGGGCCAUAACUGACGCUGAGGCGCGAAAGCGUGGGGAGCAAACAGGAUUAGAUACCCUGGUAGUCC